rnacentral:sRNA from 1 species
GCAAUACGUUGGCUGUUACAGAAAUUAAAAAAUGUUUCCUAAUAAAAGCAAAAAAAUGAAUUUUCUAAAAUUAAAUCGCAAAUUGUUAUUCGUCAUUAUGGGUAUCUGGCUGAUAAUCGUUGGCUGCAACUGGUGCCUGCAAAAAUGGGUAGCACUGAAACGGCGACUGAAUAACGAAUGGGCAGCAUUCUGUCAGAAGUUUAUAGCAGCCUAUUGGUUCCUAAAUGGCUAUAUACUCAUAUACCUAUGGAUAUUUCGUUACUAAAACAGACUCUAGGAUAUCUUUCGCUGAAAAGCAUCGCACAACUCAAAGAUGCAAUAAAUACACGGUUUUGGGGCAGAUCCUCCUAACCCAAAAAGGGAGCUACGAUUUGAUCUAUCGCUCAUCGACGAUGGAAAAGAGGAAACAACAACAAAAUCAGCGGCGCAUCUCAGUAGAAUACACUUUUAUCUCGAACACUCAACUGAGAAAUAAGUAUCUAAACAAAGAAGAAGUAUCUUAAAGUUACAGAGAUGCAGAAACACACACAAAUUAAAAGUAUCCAAACAGCUGCAAGAUAUUGUAUCUGAGGCAAAAACACAACCAAGAAAGAUGCUGUUGUACAUAACAAAAACAUAACACAAUGUUUGAAACAGUAAAAUGAAUCUAUUGAAUGACUGUUUAUCUGUA